rnacentral:rRNA from 1 species
ACCCUACGGGAGGCAGCAGUGGGGAAUAUUGCACAAUGGGGGAAACCCUGAUGCAGCGAUGCCGCGUGGAGGAAGAAGGUUUUCGGAUUGUAAACUCCUUUUAUCAGGGACGAUAAUGACGGUACCUGAAGAAAAAGCAUCGGCUAACUCCGUGCCAGCAGCCGCGGUAAUACGGAGGAUGCGAGCGUUAUCCGGAUUUAUUGGGUUUAAAGGGUGCGUAGGCGGGCUGUUAAGUCAGCGGUAAAAGCCCGGGGCUCAACCCCGGCGAGCCGUUGGAACUGGCUGUCUUGAGAUGUCGAGAGGUA